ACAACUCCUCAUCUCAUGCCUAUCUUCCCGAACCCCUCUCACAACUCCUCAUCUCAUGCCUAUCUUCCCGAACCCCUCUCACACCCUCUCCAUCCAACUCCUCUCACGCCCUCUCCUUCCAACUCCUCUCCAGUAAACCCCUCUCCGGCGAACUCCUCUCCUCUGAAUUCCUUCACCUCUUCGUCAAAUAGCAAAUGCCCUAAUCUCUUCGCCUCCAUCGCCUCAUUCACGCUUCCUUCACACUGCCCAAUCUCUUUGAUCCCACCUUCGUCAAGCGGUAUAUCCCGACGCUGAGGCGAUCGAUCACGGCAGAUCAACCCAUCUCUUCGCUUCCUUCGUCCCCGACGCUGAGGCGACCCGUCGCCACUAGUGUCUUCUGCAUCAGAUCGAGCACUCUGGUCCAUACCAUCAUUCUAAAAGAUGAGGAGGCAAGUGGAAAUGGUGGCAACUUUACAGAAGUAGAGUAUUCUCGAGAAGAAAUUGAUGAGGUACGAUCGGAGUUGGUAGAAUGUAUACAAGAUCAUAUUUAUGAGUAGCUGCAUUCAAGUUUAUAUACACAGUGGUAGGUGUUUUGUCCCAGUCUCAAGCAGACAAUUCAUUUUGAUCAGUAUAUCUAGUAGAAGUAAGCAUGCAGAUCGUUGUCUUCGUGGUCGGCUAGCUAUUUUGUGUUUUUUUUGUUUUAAAUUUGAAUGUCACUAACUACUUUGAAACAGAAAUAUUUAGUCUUUCUGUAUAAUUGAAUUCUCCUGUAAAUACUAAUACUUUGUAGUUGAAUUCUAUUGUUUGGUA